AGAUUGAACGCUGGCGGCAGGCCUAACACAUGCAAGUCGAGCGGUAGAGAGGUGCUUGCAUCUCUUGAGAGCGGCGGACGGGUGAGUAAUGCCUAGGAAUCUGCCUAGUGGUGGGGGAUAACGUUCGGAAACGGACGCUAAUACCGCAUACGUCCUACGGGAGAAAGCGGGGGACCUUCGGGCCUCGCGCCAUUAGAUGAGCCUAGGUCGGAUUAGCUAGUUGGUGAGGUAAUGGCUCACCAAGGCGACGAUCCGUAACUGGUCUGAG
rnacentral:rRNA from 1 species